UUAUCAAAGGGGAGGUUUGCUGCAAUGGUAGUCUGUUGGCUUCUGGGAAAUGGGUGCCUCUUUUCAUGGAACAGUAUGAUUACAAUCUUAGAUUACUAUGCUGCAUUGUUCCCGAGAUAUCAUCCGCCGAGGGUCCUCACUCUAGUGUAUCAGCCGUAUGCGCUUUUUACACUCGUAGCAUUGUCAUAUAAUGAAGCAAAGAUCAAUACUAGGAAGUGGAAUUUAUUUGGAUAUACCUUAUUUUUCCUAAGUACUCUUUUGGUGCUAGUGUUGGAUUUAGCUACAUCCGGAAGGGGAGUUCUAGAAUACGCAGGCUGUAACUUACAGCCAUCGUGAAGGGCGACGUGGCGCAAGGAGAACCACUGAAUGUGUCAAAGUGUGGCUGAAGGUCAUUUCACAGUUAACGGCGCCGUUAGGGUAAAACACGUUUUACAGCCUCCUCACUGGCGCAUCAGCAACCACAACAUUAUCCCAUAUCCUUUCCCCUCCAAUUCUCCAAACCCCCACUUUACUCAUACCCAAAGUCACUUUUGUUCUUUCUCUCCUCUCACCACUCAGACUUCACAACCAAACCAUUCGUUUUCUGCUCUUUAACCAAAAUCCAAUCUUUGAACACAAACCGAUUCGUGGGUUUUCCGGGAAAGCAAUUGGGUUUUUGUUUGAAAGGAAGUUGAGGAUCGUUGAAAGGAAGUUAAGGGUUUUGUGAAUGCAAAAGAGGAUGGCAUUGAUGAAGCUGAGAAGCCAUGCGUGCUGAACCCGUUGAAACCGUUAAAAGCCUUCCAAAAACCGAGAGCACAGCAGCCAAAGCCCAAUUCUCUCUCUCUCCUCUCUCUGUGUUUUGCUUCCUUUCUCCAAAGGUCUUCGCUUUCUUAUGCGCGCCCAAUUUCUCAAGUUUGAAGGAUCAAUGCUGGACCCAUUCCUGUGCUCUGUUACUUGUUAUUGAUGUCAAGUUGAAUCUGUCUGGAGUGGUGGUCAUUUGAGAUGCUUAUCUUGCUGUCCGGAAUUCUACAAAAUCCGGCUCUUGAAACUUCAGUUCUGUCUGUAUGGCACAUAAGGCGAGGGCUAGGAUAUAUGAGGGAAGCUCUCUCGAAGCUAAUGGAUUGCUGAACUAAGCAGAGAUUAACAAGUAGUAGUGAAGGAGUUGCUCUAUGCCUUUGUGCAUUGCUUUUGGCAACUAAAGCAUAUCUGUAAUACCCCGAAAAAUCCAAAUUAAAUUCCGUGGAUUUUUAGAAUUGAUUUCGCGGUAUUAGGAGCGAGUACGAAGCUUGGAGAAGAUGAGGAAGUAGUUCGAACGAUUUUAUUUUCGAAAU